UACGUAGGUGGCAAGCGUUGUCCGGAAUUAUUGGGCGUAAAGCGCGCGCAGGCGGUCUUUUAAGUCUGAUGUGAAAGCCCACGGCUCAACCGUGGAGGGUCAUUGGAAACUGGGAGACUUGAGUGCAGAAGAGAAGAGUGGAAUUCCACGUGUAGCGGUGAAAUGCGCAGAUAUCAGGAGGAACACCAAUGGCGAAGGCAGCUCGCUGGAACGGUACUGACGCUGAGGCGCGAAAGCGUGGGGAGCAAACAGG
rnacentral:rRNA from 1 species